CUAGACAAGUGCUCUACCACUGAGCUACACCUCAGUCCCAGGACUCCCCUUCUGCAGAUGGACACACUGCAGCACAGAGAGGCACAGGCCACUGUGCCUGGAUUUUUUUUUAACAGAAAACAACAAUGAUGUCAUCACAUCACACAUGUCCACAGGGUUUCCUGAUAAGCACCUUGGCCAUUGUCACAGGAAGAGGUAUCAGGAUGGGGCCGAGCAGCUGGUCCCAGAGUGCCCUGACCCUCCCCCACCUGUUGAGAGCCACUGUCCAGUCGGAAUGGCCCCUGGCAUUUUGCCAGAAGUAAAGGUUGAGAGGCGAGCCAUGAAGAUGAUGAUAAUUAAGCUCAGCUGUGUAUAAUUGCUGUGACUGGAUUGUUGGAUUGAAACAGGCUGUGUAUAGGGCAGCUCCUGCUGUCUCAGGCGUCUGCUACUUUGAAGUUCUUGCAGGGAUUCCUGAAGAGUUCGGGUUGGUUGGUUGGUGAAGUUCGGGUGGAGGGAGUUUCGGUUGUUGUGUGGUGUUCCUGAGAGGGCCGCGUGGGUGGUGUUCGGGGGAGUUUGGAAAUAAAGUUUGUUCCUGCUUGA